CGGGACACGUGGUAUCCUGUCUGAAUAUGGGGGGACCAUCCUCCAAGGCUAAAUACUCCUGACUGACCGAUAGUGAACCAGUACCGUGAGGGAAAGGCGAAAAGAACCCCGGCGAGGGGAGUGAAAAAGAACCUGAAACCGUGUACGUACAAGCAGUGGGAGCCUCUUUUAUGGGGUGACUGCGUACCUUUUGUAUAAUGGGUCAGCGACUUAUAUUCUGUAGCAAGGUUAACCGAAUAGGGGAGCCGAAGGGAAACCGAGUCUUAACUGGGCGUUAAGUUGCAGGGUAUAGACCCGAAACCCGGUGAUCUAGCCAUGGGCAGGUUGAAGGUUGGGUAACACUAACUGGAGGACCGAACCGACUAAUGUUGAAAAAUUAGCGGAUGACUUGUGGCUGGGGGUGAAAGGCCAAUCAAACCGGGAGAUAGCUGGUUCUCCCCGAAAGCUAUUUAGGUAGCGCCUCGUGAAUUCAUCUCCGGGGGUAGAGCACUGUUUCGGCAAGGGGGUCAUCCCGACUUACCAACCCGAUGCAAACUGCGAAUACCGGAGAAUGUUAUCACGGGAGACACACGGCGGGUGCUAACGUCCGUCGUGAAGAGGGAAACAACCCAGACCGCCAGCUAAGGUCCCAAAGUCAUGGUUAAGUGGGAAACGAUGUGGGAAGGCCCAGACAGCCAGGAUGUUGGCUUAGAAGCAGCCAUCAUUUAAAGAAAGCGUAAUAGCUCACUGGUCGAGUCGGCCUGCGCGGAAGAUGUAACGGGGCUAAACCAUGCACCGAAGCUGCGGCAGCGACACUGUGUGUUGUUGGGUAGGGGAGCGUUCUGUAAGCCUGUGAAGGUGUGCUGUGAGGCAUGCUGGAGGUAUCAGAAGUGCGAAUGCUGACAUAAGUAACGAUAAAGCGGGUGAAAAGCCCGCUCGCCGGAAGACCAAGGGUUCCUGUCCAACGUUAAUCGGGGCAGGGUGAGUCGACCCCUAAGGCGAGGCCGAAAGGCGUAGUCGAUGGGAAACAGGUUAAUAUUCCUGUACUUGGUGUUACUGCGAAGGGGGGACGGAGAAGGCUAUGUUGGCCGGGCGACGGUUGUCCCGGUUUAAGCGUGUAGGCUGGUUUUCCAGGCAAAUCCGGAAAAUCAAGGCUGAGGCGUGAUGACGAGGCACUACGGUGCUGAAGCAACAAAUGCCCUGCUUCCAGGAAAAGCCUCUAAGCAUCAGGUAACAUCAAAUCGUACCCCAAACCGACACAGGUGGUCAGGUAGAGAAUACCAAGGCGCUUGAGAGAACUCGGGUGAAGGAACUAGGCAAAAUGGUGCCGUAACUUCGGGAGAAGGCACGCUGAUAUGUAGGUGAAGUCCCUCGCGGAUGGAGCUGAAAUCAGUCGAAGAUACCAGCUGGCUGCAACUGUUUAUUAAAAACACAGCACUGUGCAAACACGAAAGUGGACGUAUACGGUGUGACGCCUGCCCGGUGCCGGAAGGUUAAUUGAUGGGGUCAGCGCAAGCGAAGCUCUUGAUCGAAGCCCCGGUAAACGGCGGCCGUAACUAUAACGGUCCUAAGGUAGCGAAAUUCCUUGUCGGGUAAGUUCCGACCUGCACGAAUGGCGUAAUGAUGGCCAGGCUGUCUCCACCCGAGACUCAGUGAAAUUGAACUCGCUGUGAAGAUGCAGUGUACCCGCGGCAAGACGGAAAGACCCCGUGAACCUUUACUAUAGCUUGACACUGAACAUUGAGCCUUGAUGUGUAGGAUAGGUGGGAGGCUUUGAAGUGUGGACGCCAGUCUGCAUGGAGCCGACCUUGAAAUACCACCCUUUAAUGUUUGAUGUUCUAACGUGGACCCGUGAUCCGGGUUGCGGACAGUGUCUGGUGGGUAGUUUGACUGGGGCGGUCUCCUCCUAAAGAGUAACGGAGGAGCACGAAGGUUGGCUAAUCCUGGUCGGACAUCAGGAGGUUAGUGCAAUGGCAUAAGCCAGCUUGACUGCGAGCGUGACGGCGCGAGCAGGUGCGAAAGCAGGUCAUAGUGAUCCGGUGGUUCUGAAUGGAAGGGCCAUCGCUCAACGGAUAAAAGGUACUCCGGGGAUAACAGGCUGAUACCGCCCAAGAGUUCAUAUCGACGGCGGUGUUUGGCACCUCGAUGUCGGCUCAUCACAUCCUGGGGCUGAAGUAGGUCCCAAGGGUAUGGCUGUUCGCCAUUUAAAGUGGUACGCGAGCUGGGUUUAGAACGUCGUGAGACAGUUCGGUCCCUAUCUGCCGUGGGCGCUGGAGAACUGAGGGGGGCUGCUCCUAGUACGAGAGGACCGGAGUGGACGCAUCACUGGUGUUCGGG
rnacentral:rRNA from 1 species